GGGCCCGUAGCUCAGCCCGGAUAGAGCGGCGGAGGAGCGGUUCCGCGGAGGUACGCUCUGCGGACCGUUGCGCUGAACCUUCUACGCGCCUACGUGGCGCGUGGAGAGCCGUAGGUCGUGGGUUCGAAUCCCAUCGGGCCCGCCA
rnacentral:tRNA from 1 species